rnacentral:rRNA from 1 species
UACGUAGGUGGCUAGCGUUGUCCGGAUUUACUGGGCGUAAAGAGCGCGCAGCGGUCGUUCAAGUCGAGUGUGAAAGCCCCCGGCUCAACUGGGGAGGGUCACUCGAUACUGAUCGACUCGAAGGCAGGAGAGGGAAGCGGAAUUCCCGGUGUAGUGGUGAAAUGCGUAGAUAUCGGGAGGAACACCAGUGGCGAAGGCGGCUUUCUGGCCUGUUCUUGACGCUGAGGCGCGAAAGCUAGGGUAGCAAACGGG